rnacentral:rRNA from 1 species
GCCUCUUUGGGGGCUUUAGCUGGAUCGCGCCCGCCGGAGGACAGACAUCAAAAAAUCUUGGAAAGCUGUCAGUCUGAGCGUUAGCAAGUAAAAUUAGUAAAAACUUUCAACAACGGAUCUCUUGGUUCCGGCAUCGAUGAAGAACGCAGCGAAAUGCGAUAAGUAAUGUGAAUUGCAGAAUUCCGUGAAUCAUCGAAUCUUUGAACGCACAUUGCGCCCUCUGGUAUUCCGGGGGGCAUGCCUGUUCGAGCGUCAUU